UUGCCAUCACCACUCUAACCUCCACUGGACAGAGCCAAGAAUCAGGUGGAAACCGGAAAGGAGGACAGAGCAAACCCCGAUGCACAGCGAAUGUCAGAGGUUACUUUAAAGACUUCAGAGCAGUUCCACUGACAAAUGGAUUCAGUGAAGAGAUUGAGCUGGCAUCACUUCUGGUGCAUGUUACAAUACAGAAGCAUCCGGUGGAGGUUCCCUGUGCCCUUUUCACUUCUCUUCAGGGCUCUCACAAUGUCUUCUGUUUUCACACCCCUAACAAGACUUGACUUGAGUGAAAAGGAACAGGUAAAUCCGAACUGGACUAUUCCGUGAAAAAUGAUGUGGGGGCGGACACUGACCACUUGCGUGGUAGAUCAGGUCAGAGAGUGUAAGGAAAAUCCAAACAAAAGGGCACAGAGCUGGCCACGAGGGGGUGGAUAAAAGUCAGGCUAUUAAAAGUACAUUAGUUAAAAAGCCAUCACCUCACUCCAUUUCUCACCAUAAAGGCAGGGAAUUCAGUCAGCCAGAUGAAUUAGCAGGAAUGGCAGAUCAGCUGUGUGAAAGGGAGGAAGUUUCCUUUGUGAAAGAUGACCUGCCUGACGAGCUAGUUUGUCUUAAGCUCCGAUGAUGGUAGUUUUAAGCAAAUUUUAAGAGAGAGAAACAUAGUGGAGCUUCCAGAUUGAGAGCACUAAGCCUCAGAGGUGGUGAUAGUGUUGUGCGGUUUUGUUUUGUGUCUGCUGGUAAAAACUGAGAGAGUGGUCCUUGAUAUAAGUGCGUUAACUGUGGCGGAGCACCCUGACAGUGUAAUUUCUUCAGUCUUAUACUGGUUUUGAAGGACUCUUUAAAUUAUGUACUUUGGUUUUGGAAUUAACUGUUUGCCUAAGGUGACAAUCAGCAAAUUGAUUGCCACAGUAAACCAUUUGUCUAAUAUCAAGAACUUACAACAGUGGUCUGCUGCAUUUACUCUGGCUCCCGUAUAAUUAUUAACUACAAACUUAAUGUGCAACCACAGGACCAUGCUAUCAGUUACAUGAUAAGAACAUGCAAAACUGACUGCACUGCAUGCAUAAGUCUCUGAGGACACUUUGGAUUCAACCAGAAUGCCUUAAAAGUAAACUCAACUCAUUCAAAAAUUGCACAUAAGAUGAAAGAAUAAGGAAAAAAAUAAUUGCAACAAGCUGAUUUACGAUGUCUGCCAUAGUUAUUUACGGAUAUUCAAUGUUUAAUAUUGUAAGUCUUAACAUUGGGUCCCCAACUAGUAUAAUUAGUACAAGGAAAAAAUAAAAUAAUUUCCUAAAAAAAGAAGCCUAGCACAGCAUACAGUCUAUGAGUACUGCUAGGUAAUAAAGGCCCUUAGAUUAUGCUCAUGAUUUCCAGACACGAGCUUAAGACCAGUAUUCUUUUAGAAACUUUCCAAAAUAGCCCCACCAAUUAAUCCCUAAAUAAACCGAAUUAAUGAUAAAAAGAUUAAUCACAUAUACAUUUGCUGGUCAAAAUAUUAGGAACCCAAAGUCAAAUGAACAGGGGCUUUCAGUUGCAGCACGUAGUUAAGGAAUAGGAGACAAGCUUUGAGCAUGUUCAUGAGCUAGAAAAACCUCCACAUCUCACUCCUGUUGAAAACUGACGGGACAGGAAACAUUCCAGAACCAUACAGUAACCAAGCUGAGUCCUAUUUAAAUUGUCUGCUACUCGGAGGUUCUCGUGUUCUGAUAUUUACUGAUGGUUCUGAUGGUUACUGACAUUUUGACCAAUGAGUGUUUUAAGCAAUUCAAAUUACUUUUUUUCUCCUUUAGGGAUUUACAGUACAUUCCAAACCCUUAACAGACUGUUAGAAACUAUAUGAAGAAGCACGGCUUACUCUGGAAAUAUGUUUUAGGAAUGCACUGAACCCAAUGAAACCACUGUACCAUUGGGCCGGGCAGCAGCGUCUCUCUCUCUCUCUCUCUCUCCCCUCCAGGGUCGGAAUCCGACGGCUUUUUUAAUGGAAUUGGAAUUCUUCCCAGUCUGGGUGUGGCAGUAAGGUGCUCUCUCCUGUGUGAAUUCGCUGGUGUGUUUUAAAGCUUAGAAACACACCACACCAGCGAAUUCACACAAGAUGAAGCCCUUUAAAAAUGUUUAAGGGAUCCCGUUGAACCGAAAGGGUCCCCACUCGGGGAACACCUCGGACCACAGCCUUUGCUCCCAGGGAGUUCCACAGAGCCCACUGCAGAAGGUCUUCGUUGUCGUGAUUGAGGGGUCAGGACACCCCACUUCCAAACUCCAGCUGUCUCGCAGAAACACCUGCUCCUUCCUGUGCAGCAGUGGGUCUUUGCCGGCCCAAAAGGGGACAGACAUUCACUCAAACAUUUCAGAAAUGUAAAUUGAAAACAAAUGUGCUGCAAAUGCUCUAGAGAUCUUUGUGGUGGGACGUAGACCAGCGCAGCAAUUUUCCUUUGCAUUCAAAAUUGUUUUAAGUUUGCAACGCUUCUUGUACAAUAACAACUACAGUCGCCACACUGAAAUAAUAAAAAGA